GGCACCGGCCCGCUCCUCCCAGCCAAAGCCCCCCCCCAUUCCCGCCUCAGGAACGCCCCGCAAUCACCGCCUCAGACACCGCUCCGUCUCAGCCAAAGCCCUGCAAUCCCCGCUUUAAGCACCGGCCCGCCAUUCCCGCCUCGGCCAAAGCCCCCACUAUUCCCGCCUCAGGAAAGCUCCGCAAUCCCGGCCUCAGGCACAGCCCCGCCCCUCCCGCCUCGGGCUCUGCCUUGUAGGGUGGGCUCUUGAGGUAAAGGCGCUGGACGUGGAGAGUGUUUCUGCUUGUCCGUCUGUUUUUGGGAUAAGCGGUGCUUGAUGUGGAUUCCGCAGUGCUGGUGGCUGACAUUCCUCCCCAGGCGCUGCUGGCUGCCGCUCCCUGCCAGUUCUGUGUGAAGUGCUCAGCCCCUCUUGAAGAAUCUCUUGGACUCAACUCCUUCGUACAGGAGAAUCUCCUGGAUGCUGCUAAUGUGAAAUCUGUUCAGCACGAGAAUUGAGCAUUUGAGCAUUGCCUAGAAAUUUCCAAAAGCAUGAAAACAGUACAAAGAGAAGAAUGAAGAAAUAAGUUAUAAGCAGCAGUCUGACCACAGAAAAUUAGCUGACCCUUAUGUUCUCUAGCAGCUGAACG